ensembl:lncRNA
GCUGGAAACUGGCACCACAGUUGAUUUUUAGCCCUGUUGGAUCAGCCCAAGAGACUCUUCUGGGUGGUGACUGGAAGGUAAAUAAACAGCAACUGAGUCAGCAGAAUCCGCCUGAGGAUAUGACUUUUCGUCCUGGCCGAAGCGAGGGAAACGGCGAGUGUGUGUGUGACCGUUGCAGUGUGACGCAGUUCAGGCCACCAGCAAACAUACGCAGACACGGACCGGACGAUGCGUCCCUGAAUUCUUCCCUCGCCAUUGAAGCACAAACGGAAAACACUGGCCCAGAAAUUCAAAUCAUGAAUUUAACAUUGCUGAGACCAUCUCCACCAACCAUAUCCCGCACUGCCAUCCUCUACAAAUGAUUAUCAGGUUUUUUUUCUGUUGCACUAAAACCAUGCCUGUAUUCUUCAGCAGCCCUGAACUCCUUUCCUCUAUGACCUCUCCUAAAUCUUUCCCUUUCCUGCUAGUCUGUAGCAUUCCCAAUAUCCUCCCUGAUGAUCUUAUAUAACCAACAAGGACUGACGCGACACUGCCACUCUCAGUGUUACCAAUCUAUGUUGCAGGGUAUUUAAAUAGAACGUGCUUAUACAGGGAUACAGUUGCGCACACACACACACGGCAAUAGGAUGAUUGAGCUGUCCAAGGUCAGAGCGGCCGUCUCCAGACCUGCUGUGUUUGUACUGCACUCACUAUCACUGUGAAUGAAAGCCACGCUGCAACCGGGCUAAGGCUCAGACAGGGUACUGCUGGCUUUCUAAUUCACACAUGUACAUGUGCCUCACAGAGGUGGUACAAAUAUACACAAUAUAGGAGCAAAUAUUUAUACACAAACACAACACAGUUAUUGUAUGUGCCAUUCGAGCUAUCACUGGCAGCAUGGCCUCUCUGUCUCUCUCUUUCUCUCACCCUCUCUCUCCUUCUCAGCCAAAUGAUCACUGGGGAAAUCCUCUUCCUGUCCUUUAAAAAGAGAAAAAAAACACAGCACACCAGCACCACAGAGCACACUGCCUUCAGCCGUGAUCAGCUGCACCAGCAUAGUGGAGAGACAGCAACCAUCCUUCCCACCUUCCACAGUCAUCAUCACAUAGCAGACAUGUCCAGGUAGCUCUUUAAGUCUGAUCUCAGCAGUUGGGUUUUUAAACUCUAAUGAGAAGUAGCUGCACAGGACCGUACCUUAGCCAUGCAUGUUUUUUGCGUGACAGCUCUGUUACUAAUAGCAUGGAGUGCUUCAGUGACAAGACAAAGAAACCAAAAAAUCAUUUUACAUUAAGAAAUCAGAAUAAAAGAACUGAUUUGUUCUGUCUGCUUGGACAUGGCUCAAGUAGUUGGUGCACUUAUGCAGGCGAGGCAGAAUGGAAAAUUCCUUCACCUGUGUGAGCCAUAGAGUCAAAAACACGUGUUCUUGUGGCAGUGUAGCAUUGUUGGACAUAAUUGAGGCCACUCAGAGGUAGGCUACCUCCGUCCGCUUGAUGUCCCGACAUCCCAAUCAAGCUGUAGAAUAACAGUCUCCAUGUUUUCCACACCAUCACUACAGUUUGCUUUCUCUGUCUGCCUCUGAGAUCAAAGGAAGGGUUAUAUUACGUUUACAAUAAACUCAAAUGUGAACUUGAUGCUAAGCUCUGCAGCUGCAGCCUGGCACAAAGCUAACAAAUACUACUGUUUUUAUUACUUACCCAGGGAAAACAUCCGUAAGCUCUCAUCCUUGCAUCCACCUUUCCACAUCCUUCCAACUCCAACCCCCCCGGGUGUUUCCUCCAUAUGCCUCUCCUUCCUUUCCCACACCCUCUCCCAGAAACCUGCUACGGCUCAUGCUAGCACUCUCUGGUGGAGAAAGACGACAAUCCCUGCAGGAAUAUGUCCACACGUGGAAUGUAAAAUACUGAAAUUGUAUAAUUAAAGACACGAUGUGAAGUCCCACACUCAUGUUGCUUUCGAUGUUGCUUUUGUUGUGCACCAAGUGUUCGUCGUUCUGCUUUUUCUUGGGCUGUUGAGCUUUGGAGGUGGACAUGAGCCACGUCCUGUGACAGACUGCUACUGAUGAGUCGUUUUAAGAAAAAACUAGUAUGUUUAUGAAAGAACCGUGUGAUGACUGAAAACGUUUGAGUGAUUUAAAGGAAGGGAUGAAGUGAAUGUUUUGGGUAUAGAGGAACUUUUUAAUUUUUGUUUUUUUAAUGAUACUUUUGUCUUUAUUUGCAUCUGAUUUUUCUUGGUAAGUGAAUGUCUAUCUGUGUUGAUGCUUUACUGUGAGAAUAUGGCUGUAUAUGCACUUUCAGACCAUCAUUGGUGCAGUGGUAGCUAGUGCUCAGACAUCACCCAUGGGUCAGGGUUCAGCUCAUCUUCAGUUUAGCCAACUGAAAAAGAAGCCAUAUUAAUAAAUACGAUUGAAACUUCUUGGAACAGGCGAUUGCAUUUGGCACCAUAGUUGGCUGUAUCUAGCAGCUGUACUGCUUGCAC